rnacentral:lncRNA from 1 species
AAAUUCUCGAUGGGGAUUCCAAGCCGCUAAUUUGUUCACCAUAAAAUUUGGUGACAUCGUAUCCCACGUACUAACGACGAGAAUUUUCCGUCGCUAAUUCGUCGUUACAUUUCUCGAUGGGUAUUCCCGUCGUUAAUCUUUUCUCCCGCGAUUAAUUUAAUGACAUCUAUUUUCUGUCGAGAAUCAGUUUAAGGACAGCCUGGUGGAGUUUUUUGAGCAAGAGACUGCAAAUACUUGCAUGUCACCUUCCAUGUCACUGCAAUGAGAGAGAAGAAGCAUGAGAAAGAAUCCAAAAAAUCUUGAUAAAAUAAAAUCAAACAAACAUGAACAGCAGCUAAUGAAGAAUCCCCAUUGAAGGACCAUUCAAUGCAACCCCACACCACCCUGUUUCUGAUCAUCAAGAAUCACCAUGCCACACAACUGAUGAUUGUUGUUAAACAUUCAAUAUAUGAAUAUAACAUCACAGAGAGGAAUAGGUUAGCUAGCUUAAUCAUUGCUCGCGUCGUUCUUCUCCCAUCCGAGGUGACAAAUUUAGUAGGUUUCACGAUUUUCGCAGGUCCACAAGUGUAACCAGGCGGCCCCGGUGCUUUAAGUGUGAAGUUCUUGGGCACCCUAACUGUUUUAUCGGUAGUUCCGGCUGCACCAACACUAAUCUGGAAAGAGCUUGCAUCCCAUGAAUUAAUCACCCCUCCUUUACAACAAUUUGCAAUCUGUUGAUUAUAAGGAGUUCCGGGCAACAAGUCAACCACCAUUGGAUCUUUCUUACAACAAUGUGGAAUGUUUCCUUCAUAUCUCGAGCAAUCUCCUUGCUCGGUGGUUAGAGCACCCACCAUGCUCCAAAUCACUUCUUUCUUCGCCCAAGUCCAUCCCAAAGUCCAACCAGGUGCUGCAAUGUGACGGUAUCGUUGGAAGUUGAACAUCGUCACAACAGCCUGCAAAUCUCAAGAGGCACAUAUGCAUUAUGUCUGACGUUGCACACGUUAUUUUGAUUCUAGCAAGACAAUUCAAUUCAAUUCAAUUCAAAGUAAGCAAAAGUAUGUAGCCUGCAAUUAAUCAUAGUUUUGGAUUUCAAAAUUCAAAAUCUUGAAGAAUUACAUUCAAACAAAGAGGAUAGAUGACUCAAAUCGACACCUACCACAUAGCCAUCGGGUGUCCAAGUGAUGACAUCCCACUUAAUUGUGAUAUUGCCAUUAGGAUCAAGCGCAUCGUAGGUUUCUGAAGGAUAAGUGAGGAAAGUAAAUAUGUUAGAAAUCGAAGACGAACUAACACAUCCAACAUCUAAUCAUGUAGCAUCAAAUUCUCAGCAGUAGUCAAACUUUAACUUAGCAAGAAGGCUACACUGUAUUAUUGUGAUCUUCAAAGAGCAUAAAAUGGAAAUCUCACUGAAGCAUGAAUACAUUAAACUCUCUGGGGACGUUUACUUUGAAAGAUUAGCCUUGAUAGAUAAAAAAUAAUAAGGCUAAUCCCUUGUUUACUUUGUGGAAUUGAAACUUUGGGAUAUCCCAAGGCCCUUGAUUAUUUUUAGCAUUUAAGCUAGUUUUGCUUGAUUUUUAUCUUAUCAAAAGGGUGGAAUUAGAAUAAUCCUACUCUUGAGGAUAAAAAUACUCAAUCUUCCAUUUUAUCAAUCAUGCAAAGUAAGCUCCCCCUCUAUAUAUAAGAAUAGGAAUAGAACCCCUCAAUUCUGUUGUUUUACACCUAAACACACCAAGAUUAACUAAUGCCAAAUCCCUCUCGAGAAAAUGAAUGAACUCACUAGCAAUCAAGAUUGAAUUUUUAUUUUUCUAGAACAGCUCAAGAUUGGCGCAACCUAAUUCGCCUUAAACUCCCAAUUCAAAACUAAAGUCAAUUGCUGCUUUAAGAGAGAAACAGUGAAGAUCCUUAAUUUCGGUUUUGCCACUAAAACAAGUUAUAAAAGCAUCCAACUUACAAAGAUCCGAGCAUUUUUGCAAUCGAAUCAAACCCAUUCAAUUAGGGAAAACGAUUGCAUUUAAUAUUCACAUAUGAUUUGGAGCCCACCAAGAAAACCUUCCCCACCAACAAGAUUUUGAGCAACAAAAAGAAAGAGAAAAAGACAAGAAUUACCUGUAGAAGUGAAGCUGAAGAUAUAUAUCAGAGCAAGGUCUGUCUUCAGCUGCUCCAACUCAUUCUUCGCGCCGGAGAUCAGAUCGGCGUACCCUACCACCACCUCCUUCACUUGCUCCAGCAAAAAUGUCACUGCGGCCUCCUCUAUCCCAAUUCUGAGAAGGGAGAGAGGGGUUGACUUUNAUGCCUAACUACAGAAAGUGACACAUAGCCACGACAUUUGCUCCGAUCGAAUCAACCUUUUGCAUUGGGUUUUUGGGCCAGAACGCAAAAGGAGGUCCACUUUGUUUUAUUUGUUAGCACGUAAUACUUCGUCUGUCCAUCAAUUUGUGCUUUAGAGGAAAGGCCACGGAUUUUUAAAAAAGAAUGUACUUCCUCCGUCUCAUUAUAAAUGACUCAAAAAAAUUUCAGCACUAGAAUUAAGAAGAAAGUGUAAAUGUGUUAAAAAUGAUAUGAUUCACACUUUUUUAGAGUUAAACUUUGUCAUUUGUGGAAAUAGGUCACCAUAAUAGGACGACCCAAAAUGAAAUACAAGCCACUUUUAGUGGGACGAACGGAGUAUUAUUUAUUUAUUGAGUGGAGGAAAGGAGACGACUUUUAAGAAAAUAGUUACUAAAAAUAGGUAGAACACAAAUUGGUGGACGGAUCAAAAUAAUAAAUUAGAACACGAACAGAUUGAGUAUCUUUUACUUUGAUAUAAUUAGAGACAUAAUUUCAUUAUCUAUAAGUUUUAAAAUUUCAAAUAUUUGCAUAUAUUGUUAUUAAUAGAUCUAUAUAUAAUUCCACAAGUUAUUACAUUCCAUAUAUAUAUAAAAAAAUAAUAAUAAUUUUUUCGACGAAUUGUCAAAGACACAUUAUUAUUAUAAUACAAAAAACAAUUUCUCGAUGAGAAUUUCCCGUCGUUAAAUUCUCGACGGGGAUUCCAAGCCGCUAAUUUGUUCACCAUAAAAUUUGGUGACAUCGUAUCCCACGUACUAACGACGAGAAUUUUCCGUCGCUAAUUCGUCGUUACAUUUCUCGAUGGGUAUUCCCGUCAUUAAUCUUUUCUCCCGCGAUUAAUUUAAUGACAUCUAUUUUCUGUCGAGAAUCAGUUUAAGGACAGCCUGGUGGAGUUUUUUGAGAAAGAGACAGAAAAUCUUAGUUCCAUUUAUGACUAAAAUAGGGCCAAGUUGAAGGUCCAGUUUGCUAUUGGUGAACAAAUAAAAUAAAAUCAAACAAACAUGAUCAGCAGCUAAUGAAGAAUCCCCAUUGAAGGACCAUUCAAUGCAACCCCACACCACCCUGUUUCUGAUCAUCAAGAAUCACCAUGCCACAUAACUGAUCAUUGUUGUUAAACAUUCAAUAUAUGAAUAUAACAUCACAGAGAGGAAUAGGAUAGCUUACUCAUCGCUCGCGUCGUUCUUCUCCCAUCCGAGGUGACAAAUUUAGUAGGUUUCACGAUUUUCGCAGGUCCACAAGUGUAACCAGGCGGCCCCGGUGCUUUAAGUGUGAAGUUCUUGGGCACCCUAACUGUUUUAUCGGUAGUUCCGGCUGCACCAACACUAAUCUGGAAAGAGCUUGCAUCCCAUGAAUUAAUCACCCCUCCUUUGCAACAAUUUGCAAUCUGUUGAUUAUAAGGAGUUCCAG